rnacentral:rRNA from 1 species
UACGUAGGGUGCAAGCGUUAAUCGGAAUUACUGGGCGUAAAGCGUGCGCAGGCGGUGAUGUAAGACAGAUGUGAAAUCCCCGGGCUCAACCUGGGAACUGCAUUUGUGACUGCAUCGCUGGAGUGCGGCAGAGGGGGAUGGAAUUCCGCGUGUAGCAGUGAAAUGCGUAGAUAUGCGGAGGAACACCGAUGGCGAAGGCAGCUCGCUGGGACGGUACUGACGCUGAGACGCGAAAGCGUGGGGAGCAAACAGG